rnacentral:lncRNA from 1 species
GUCGACUACCAGGCUGCGUUAGGAGCUACCGUCUUCAGCUUUUUCUCGCUGCUGAGAGCUGUUUUGUUACUCAGUAAAACUCUUCUCCACCGUGCUCACCCUUCAGUUGACCGUGCAACUUCAUUCUUCCUGGACAUAAACCCGGGACCCACAGAACAGCGGGUGCAAAAAGGGCUGUAACGCUUUCCUGGCCGGAUCGCCAAGCUGCAGGUAAGAUGUGCCUGCUUCACCUACUGGCGUGAAUGUAAACUUUCUGAGACCUUCCCAGCCAUGUGGAACUACAUGAUCUGACAUAUUAAACUGAGGCAUAAAAGACAGGUCACAUUUCAUUUCAUUUUUAGUGACUCUGCAAUGACCAUGGACAUUAUUUUUUAAUUGUUAAGGUAAACAUGAUUUGAAAUAUAUUUAGGUUGAGUUUAUUGAGAUUAAGGAUAGCUCUAGAUACGGGGGGAGAGGUGUAGCUUCCAUUUGAAGGGAUAACAGUGUGGAAAACAGUAGAAUAGUUUGAUGUGAAAUUCCCUGGGCCUCUUCCACAGCCUUAUACAAGGUAGGGGUUUUGAAAAUUAAAGAUUCAUUAGCUUCAUGGUAAAUUCACUGUUCUUUGAGAUUCAAGUAUGUAGUUUGCAGUCACCUUGUUUUAGUUGUUUAAUUAGGUCAAAACUGACAGAUAAUUAAUAGGAUUUUUAAAAGAACAUUUGUCUUGGAUUCUUCCCUUAGCUUUUAAAAUCGUGGAUUAGUAAUUCCAUAGGCCUUCGAUUAAGUCUCUGGACUUCCUGUUACCUUUUGAAUUUUCUUCAUGUUUCUCUUGGGUUCGUUUCCUGUUUUCUGAAACAUUUAUAUUCUGCUUUCAUUACUUAUUCCCUCAUUUUGUAAAAUAUGUAACCUUUAAAGAAUCCUUUUUUAGUUGUAUUUUGAGUUUAAAGGUAAUUUUUCUUCUAAUGGAUUUAAUUGUUAGCUGUGUGCAAGAAUAAGUGCUGGUAAUAAAAA